GGAGGAUUUACCAGGAACCCUGCUGCGGUUAUGUUGCAUAGUCAAGGAUGGACAGAUUGCCUCUUUAAAGAACAUUGGCAGGAAAUGCGACACUCGUGCCCUGAUGUCCAAGAAAAAGUGAGGCGUCAUUUGCUCUCUUCCAAUUUGUGUGAACCAUUCUGCAACCUACGGAAUUUUGGAAGAUGAUGAACAGUGCGCCUGCCUGAAAGGCUACGGAUCAAGUUCUGGAAUUUGGGCAGCUAUUUUCCAGCCGGCACGGACUCCAUCUUCUAUGUCACCAACUCUACGAUUCCUUGAAACUGGCAAGACGUCUGAUUGACACAACACAGUGGAAACCUGGAGCGAUCUCCCCAAAAGGCUUUUUGGAUGCUGUGGUCGGGGCCGUUGAUCGAUGUGUCGGGGCGAUCCAAGCCCCCGUGUCGAGGCACUAGUAUGGUGAAGCGUCUCAGGCUGUGACCGACGAAGAAAGAUCCCCAGCCGUCAUCCAGAGAGCCAUGGCUAAAUUCAAUCUGGAUGGCGACUGGCAGGAUUAUCAUCGUGUCCUGAUCGUCACCAAAGACAGAGGUGAGGAAUAAAACAUAGGUUGCUUGAUGCUGGAAGAUGUACAAUAUUCCUCCUAAACUCAAUGUGUUGGAGGAGCUCAGCAUAUCAAGGUUAUUAUAUUAAGCACUAUGUUCAGCAUAUUAAGUUACAGAGAAAGGUUGAACAAGUUAGGUCUUUAUUCUUUGGAGCGCAGAAGGUUAAGGGGGGACGAUAGAGGUCUUUAAAAUGACGAGAGGGAUAGAUAGAGUUGACGUGGAUAAGCUGUUCCCAUUGAUAGUAGGGAAGUUUCUAACAAGAGGACAUGACUUGAGAAUUAAGGAACAGAAGUUUAGGGGUAACAUGAGGGGGAACUUCUUUACUCAGAGAGUGAUGGCUGUGUGGAAUGAGCUUUCAGUGGAAGUGGUGGAG